GCAAGCCUAACCGAGGAAGCCCUCAACGAGAUGCAGUACCUUCACGCAUCUCUGACCGAGACUCUCAGGCUGUACCCUGCAGUUCCACUGGUGAACUAUCUGAAGCUAAUUUGCUGGUCGAUCCUUGUUGGCACUCGGUGCUUGCUUACUGACUCACAUGUGUCAACACAGGAUGUCAAGCAAUGCUUCUCGGAGGACACAUUACCAGAUGGAUUCGAAGUCAAGAAAGGAGACUUGGUGAUUUACCAACCUUAUCCUAUGGGAAGAAUGCAGUUCUUGUGGGGUGAGGAUGCAGAGGAUUUCCGGCCAGAGAGAUGGCUCAACGGUGACGGUGUAUUUGUGCCAGGAAGCCCCUUCAAGUUCCCUGCUUUCCAGGUGAGGCAACCAAAAACCUGCAAUUAGCUGGAUAAGUCGAUCUGAAGGUGAUUGAUUCUUUGGAUGCUCGUGGUAUUGCAGGCUGGCCCUCGCAUCUGUCUUGGAAAGGAGUUCGCGUACAGGCAGAUGAAGAUCUUUGCUGCUGCACUACUGUGCUUCUUUAAAUUCAAGAUGUGGGAAGAGAUGAGCACAGUGAGAUCAAGGACCAUGCUCACUCUUCAAAUUUAUGGAGGACUCCAUCUCGCUGCUCUUCACAGACAAGGUUGCUUGAACGCAGAUUAGUGUGCUUAAAUCAUGCUUUAUGUUGUUAUUUAAUGUAGUCUCUACCGAAGGAGCAUGAACCUCUCAUGCAUCUAUAAAUAUUUAGGAAAUGAACUUCUUGACUUGAUGACUUCAACCCUUUCUAUAGUCUUUGAAGUAUUUAUAUUAUAAUAAUAAAAAUUUUAAGUAUUUAAAUUUUAUAUAUUUUUUAAUCAGGAUCAGUGUAGUCAAGCAUAAUUUUUUGGACGGAAACUAUUUAAAAUAUUUGGAGUGAUAUGCAGAUUAUACUGAGAGAAAAAAAAAAAGGAAAGACAGGCACCAAAACCCAAAAUUUUAAAAUUUCCCAAAUAAAAAUAAUAACUAAAAUAAUUUUGAGUGAUUUUCCUAUAAAUUUUUUUUGUUUAAAGCGUUCUUAUCUUAUUUCUUCUUAAACAGUAUUCUUAAUUCAAAAAUAUCAAAAAUAUUCCUUACUAAUUCUUUCUGCUAAUUUUUUUAUUAGUUUUAAACAAUUAUAGAAUUUUUAUUUGAUUCAUUUAUAGUAUUUUUCAAUAGUAUCUAUGGUAUUUCUAUUGAGGUACUGAAAAUAUUAUAGAGUUUCAAAAAUAUUAUAAGUAACAUUAUAUUAUGUUUCUUUCAUUGUCAUAUUUCUAGGCUUGUAAUUGAUUUGAUCGAAAUAAAUAGUUCAUUUACAUAGUGUAUAGUAUUUUUAAGUAAGUUUUAUCAUGUCUUUGUUGUCUAUUCGGGUUGUAUUAUUUUUAAAUUACUAUAAAUAUUUAUUUGAAUCCCAAUAUGAUAUAUCAAAUGGCUUAUAAUAUAUUUUAAUUUUAAUUUUAUUUAACUUAUUCAUAGUUUUUUGAAGUAGAUUUUAUAAUAUUUUUAUUACGAUGGUCGUAAAAAAUAUAACGAAUAGGAAAAGUACAUUGACAGAUAGUUUAAAUUUUUUAAAUUAAAAAACAAUGUUUACAAAAACAAAAGAAAAUUGUCUUUUCAAGAAAAAAAAAAAAAAAGGUCUAGAGAAAUCGCCCAACAAUUUUUAUUGGCAUUAUAAUCAGAGGAUAACAAAUAUAGUUUUCUUGUGUGUUGAUCCCAACACUAGAUUGUAUGAAUUGAUUAAUAUAGAUUUGUAAGUUUUUUUACUUAUUUGUUUUCUUGAUUUCUUGAAAUUCAUCUGAAUAUUUAUUUUUCACAUGAUAUUUGUUAUCCUCUGAUUAAGAUAAAGAGGUAAAAUUUGUAAUCCAUUAUUCUAUAGUCAAAAUUUUAAUCUAUUUUAUCGUGAUUUAAAAAAAAGGGUUUUCCUUUUUUUUCCCAACACAUUAUGGUCGUGAUAUAGUCUAAUUAGCAAUUCCUCUUAUUACCCCUACUACAAUGACAUACACUAAUCUUGGCCUUAAACGAGCAGGAGUUGCUUCUCGCAUGGCUUAAAUCACUGUGUUGUACUCCUAUAACUUAAGAUUUUUCAACUAUACGAGGAAAUCUCUCUAUUCUGUUGAGGAAGAGAGGGACAUAUUAAUAUAUUUUAGUUUUUUCACUUCUUCAAUAAAGCAUCUUCAAUAAUUGUUCUUAUCUUCUGUUAUUUUCAUCAUGAUAUCAGAGCAACGAGAAAAGCGAAGUUUCGCUCUUGCAUUCGACUAACGACCAAGGCCGUUGAGAAAAGUAAAGCUUCGUCCUUGCCUUCGGCCAGUGACCAACGUUGCUGCAAUCAAAUUCCUACGAGGCUCCACGGCCAAUCCUCAUCUUCCUCACCGUGAUAGUCUUCGUUGAUCUGCCAACAGUCGGCGGACUUAAGGAGAACAAAAGGCGAACUUAAGGGGAACGAAAGGAAUGCUUGUGCUCUCACAGCAACAACAAUCGCAAUAACAACAACGAUCUGCUCUUGCUCUACUCACGAAGCCUUUCGCUCGUAAACCAUUGCGGGGCAUCUCUCUAUUCUAUUGAGGAAAAUCCUUUAUUCUAAUGAGGGAUAUACCUUAUUGGAGAGAUGUCGUCAUGGCUAUCGUCAUUUGACCGCCCUGUUGUCAUUGGCUCUCUGCGUACUUGUGAAGGCUCGAGGCUUCAUUGCCAAUAAAAUUUUUUGGGUGAUUUCUCUUGACGAAAUUUUUUUUUUCUUUCUGAAAAGACACUUUCCUUUUUGUGUUUUCAAACAUUAUUUUUUAAAAAAAUAUUUAAACUAUAUCUGUCAGUGUACUUUUCCUAUAUGUUAUAUUUUUUAUUAUCAUCAUAACAAAAAUAUUAUAAAAUAUACUUAAAAAGAUUAUGAAUAAGUUAAAUAAAAUUAAAAUACACUAUAAACCAUUUGAAAUAUCAUAUUAGGAUUAAAAUAAAUAUUUAUAAUAAUUUAGAAAUAAUAUCACUCAAAUAAAAAGUAAAAAUUAACUCAUUAUAAUAUUCAUGCCACCGUAACAAAGACAUAGUAAACCUACUUAAAAGCACUUUAAAUAAUCUAUACGAGUUAGGUAUCUCAAUCAAAAUAACUACAACCCUAGAAAUAUAAUAUCAUAAUGAUUUAUUCACCCCUUGGUGUAGACGAGGAUGUACUUGACAGAAUUGUUAGUAUUGAUAUAGUUACAGAAAGGGGUGAACGUCCUAAAAGUUUUGUACUUACGAAAUAGGUCGAUGUAAAAAUCCAUCAGCCUAUGGAGGUUUAGGAACUCAUGAAAGAUGGUUCCUGCAAUUGGUGGGUAAUCUAGCUUUUUCGUUUUCUGAAUUGAUGACCAUUACAUAAACAGUUAUUUCAGUAGAUAAAAUGUUCCAAUUAUGAUUACGACUAUAAGAGCUAUCUAAAAAGAUGAGAGAUUACAAACUUGAGAUGGAUUGCAUGAAACCCAAAGGGGAAGGAAAUGAGAAUGAAGAUUGUGUCGAUCCCCUCUCGACUUUGUUGUUGGAAGAUGCCACAGUAGUGGGGCGACGGAACCUAACACAUUACGCUGGCAUGUCGAAAGAGGAUAGAUUCCAUAUCACAUGAUAGAUAGGGUGUCGGAGUCAGAAUUUGCAAUUUAGUAUGGCUAUUUAGUCUUGACUACUCUGGCUGAGAUUUUAUGUUUCUAGGAAGGGAAAGGAUCCAAAUGAAUCAUCAUAACUCAAUAGCUAUAGAAGUAGGACUUCCAGUCCUGGAUCACCAAGUUUCAUUUCCUCAAUAUUUAAAGAUGCAUAAGAGGUUCAUGCUUUUUCGGUGAAGGCUAUAUUAAAUAACAACAUAAAGCAUGAUUUAAGCAUACUAAUCUGCGUUCAAGUAACCUUGUCUGUGACGAGCAGCGAGAUGGAGUCCUCCAUAAAUUUGAAGAGUGAUCAUGGUCCUGUAUCUCACAGUGUUCAUCUCUUCCCACAUCUUGAAUUUAAAGAAGCACAAUAGUGUAGCAGCAAGGAUCUUCAUCUGCCUGUACGCGAACUCCUUUCCAAGACAGAUGCGAGGGCCAGCCUACAAUACCACGAGCAUCCAAAGAAUCAAUCACCUUCAGAUCGACUUAUCCAGCUAAUUGCACGUUUUUGGUUGCCUCACCUGGAAAGCAGGGAACUUGAAGGGGCUUUCUGGCACAAAUACGCCGUCACUGUUGAGCCAUCUCUCUGGUCGGAAAUCCUCUGCAUCCUCACCCCACAAGAACUGCAUUCUUCCCAUAGGAUAAGGUUGAUAGUUUACCAAGUCUCCUUUCUUGACGUCGAAUCCAUCUGGUAAUGUGUCAUCCGAGAAGCAAUGCUUGACAUCCUAUGAUGACACAUGUGAGUCAGUAAGUAGGCACCGAGUGCUAACAAGGAUCGACCAUCAUAUUAGCUUCAGAUAGUUCACCAGUGGAACUGCAGGGUACAGCCUGAGAGUCUCGGUCAGAGAUGCGUGAAGGUACUGCAUCUCGUUGAGGGCUCCCUCGGUUAGGCUUGCGACGAAUUCGUCGAUGGUCACUUCGCCUUUUAUCUUGGUUGCUUCUCUCACCUCUUGUGCUACUUUUUCUUGUACACUGGGAUGCUUGCAUAGCAUAUAGAAGAACCAUGAAAGAGUCCCUGCCGUGGUGUCUCUUCCUGCAAUCACAAAGUUGAGUAUGAUGUCUCUCAAGUACUUGUAGCUCAUGUCAUCAGGAUUUUUCUCUCGUUCUAUUAGAAAUCUCGACAAUAUGUCUUCUUUUUCCAUCUGCCAUGAAGAAGAUAUGGUCAGUAUGUAGAACCUCCAGUUUCAAGAUGUCAAUGCCAGGUGUGACUUACGAAUCCGGUUUGUCGUUGAGACAAUUGCUCAAUCUUUGUAUCGAUCAAUUUAUACACAAAAUCAUCGAUCGAUUUGAGGUUCUUCUUCAUCUUGGCUUCUGAGCCAAUGUUGAGGAACCUCUUGACCUUCCAAAAGACAUCAAGAAACCGGAGCAUUAUUUGAGCGCUAGCAUCGUCGAACGCCUUGGCAAAAGUUCUCCCCUCUUCAGUCGAUCCGGUCAACGUAUCCAACUCCACACCAAACCCAACUUUACAUAUGGAAUCUAACGUCGACUUCAUGAGCAAAUCCUGAAGAGAGAUGAAGGAAUGGUCAAUCUCGGCAAGGUUAGGACGGCAGCAUGUUCUAAGUCUCGCUUACUUGGAUCUCGAUCAUUUCAUUAGAUCUCGCAGCGUUUGAGAUUAUCUUAGCAAGUCUGGCAGCAGUGCUUCUGAACACCACACUGCUGCUGUCCCUCAGCACCUUUGUGGAAAAUUCGAAGCUCGCUAGUUUUCUCUGAUGGCGCCACUUCUCAUCAUCCACCGCAAAGAUCCCAUCGCCAAAGAAGUCGCACAUAAGAUCGUAAGUAAAGCUCCCCUGCAAAGAAGGUGACGUUCAUCGGGCAAUUCUCUAUUCCCUAUAUCUCACACAUCUCAGUAAAAGCCUUUUAGUUGGGAGAUGAUUGAAGUACCUUCCCAUAGUUUGCAAAGUUGGUUUUGAGGAUGUGCUCGACGUUGGCAGGGUCGACAGUGUACACAUAGUUGCAGAAGGGGGUGAGGAUCCUGAAGGUCCUGUACUUGCGAGAGAGGUCGGUUUGGAAAUCUGCCAAUUGACGGAGGUUUAGCAAUUGGUGGAAUACUGUUCCUGCGACGGGUGGAUAAUUUGGCUUCCUUCGGUGAACACUUGAUGAGCAGCGCUGCAGCAAUGGUCUCAGGAGGAAGAGUGCCAGCAUCACACUGGCAGCAGCGAGAGCUGGGAAGACGGGAGAAGGGAAACUUGAGAGGAAGUCCAUGAAUCCCGAUCGAUGAGAUUGGGAGAGACAAGAAUGAGAGAUCUUCUUUUGUUGAUAGAAGAUGCUUCGUAAAGAUGGGCAAUCUGAACAAGUGGCAAUAAAUGUUCUUGGAUACUUUGCCUACCACAAAAACCCGUGAAGAUAUGGAGAAAGAGUUGAGAUUUUUAGUCGUAGCUUUUGGCCCCAUACCGUGGCCCUGAGACGGACACAUAAAUCCUAUUCGGGUGCCGUGCGCAUUCAACGAGUUCAUAGUUUAAGGAUCCCACCCACCCCCUUCCCCCUCCUGAGUCGCCGAUGGGCGUAAGACUCGCUUCCAGCAUCAGAAGCUUACCAAAGAUGCUACCGUACGUCGUCGCAACAAGACACACAGAAUGUACAUAAAUCUUCUGAAGUGACCCCACCACGAAAUGUUGUGUUUCGUUCCGACUGCCUACCUUAAAAGUGGUCAAAUAAUGUUUGAUAUUUUUUUAAAUUAUAUUUGAUCUAGAUGUUACUUUACAAAUUCUCUUGAUACUAUGCUAAUAAAUUUUUUUUCAUUUCUCAAAUUAUCCCAUAAUAUCCUCUAAAAUCAUAAGAUUGUCAUGAAAUGAAAUUUUAUUUAUUUAUAAAAAUUAUUUUAUAUUUAUUAUAUAUCUAGGUCAUACGAAAUUUUUUAUAAGAUUAUAUAUAUAUGUAAGUAUUCACUUUUGAAUAUAUAUUAAAAAUAUUAGAAGAGUAAAUUUGUUAUAUAGUAUUGUAUUCAAUGAAAUUUUAAAAUACAAUCUUACCAAGCAACACUUACAUCAAUAUACAUUUAAAAAUAUAAUUUUUAUUUAUUAUUUACCAAACAUUCAAGAUAUUACACAAGUACACAUUUACUCAAUUUUUUUUCUCUAAAUAUACAUUAAAAUAUAAAUAUAUUCCUGAACACACCCUACGAUUAACAAGUCUCUUCAUAAAAUUAUUUUUUUAUUUGAAAAAUAUGAUUAGUUUGAUCAUUCUAAGUUCAUCUGAAGAUGACUUUGAAGAUAUACACAUCUUAAUAUAAUUUUUAUAUAAAAAUAAAAUUUAUCUUCUCAAUUCUAUACUAGUCCAGGUCUAAUUAUUGGUUCUAUUUGUCUCAUCAAUUAUUCAUUCGUCUAUUUAUCUUUUUUUUUUUGAAAGGUUCCUAUCAUAUCUUUAUGCAAAUUUAUAUUCUUUUUUUUUUUAGACUUCACCUUAUUGCAGCUUAUCCAUGAAAAGUAUAAUGCAAAAAAAUGAGCAAUCAAACAAUAAAGUGUAAAAAAUUAUUCUUACUAAAUUACUAUUUAUUUAUCUGGACAAGUGAUUUUAUUAAUAUCUAGGUCAAACAAUUUUGUAAGCCAUUUUUUUGGCUCAUUUUGAUAGAUCACAGCCUUCCUUUUGUGAUCGAUUAACUCUUAAAUUUGUAACACAUGCUUAAGUAAUAUAAUUUUCUUUUCCAAGAAAAAAUGAUUUUUAUCAACUCAAUCAUUUUCUAAUAAACUAAUGAAUUCAUUGUUUGGAUUAAUUAACUUUUAUAUAGGAUGUGUUGAAUCUCAGAUUUUGAUAAUGAAACCAAUUGAUAUAUAUAUAAACAUAAAACACAAAAAUGAAAGAAUGUGAUUUAUCAAAAUAAGCCAAAAAAAAUGGCUUACAAAAUUGUUUGACCUAGAUAUUGAUGAAAUCACUUGUUCAGAUAAAUAAAUAGUAAUUUAGUAAGAAUAAUUUUCUACACGUUAUCGUUUGAUUGCUCAGGUUUUUGCAUAAACUUUUCAUGGAUAAGCUGCAAAGAUAUGUAACUUGAAGUCUAAAAAAAGAUAUAGAAUAUAAAUUUGCAUAAAAAUAAAUAUAUGAUAGGAACCUUCCCAAAUAAAAAAAAAAAAGCAAGAUCGUGUUAUGUAUGAUUAAGAAGUGAUAAAUAGGCGAAUGAAUAAUUGAUGAGACAAAUAAAACCAAUAAUUAGUAUAGAAUUGAGAGGAUACAGAACUAAAAGAAGAAAUAAUUUUAUUGGAUGUCUCCAAAGAUGCCAAAGAUUACUAACAGAUAAAAUUUAUUUUUAUAUGAAAAUUAUCUUAAGAUGUGUAUAUCUUCAAAGCCAUCCUCAGAUGAACUUAACACAUAAGCAGGUUAAUGAUCAAACUAAUCAUAAUUUUUAAAUAAAAAUAAUAAUUUUAUGAAGAGACUUGUUAAUCGUAAGUUGUGUUUAGGAAUACAUUUAUAUUUUUAAUGUAUAUUUAGAGAAACAAAUUUGAUUGGAUGUGUACUUGUGAAAUGGCUCAGCAAACAAUAAAUAAAAAUUAUAUUUUAAAUAUAUAUUGAUGUAAGUGUUGUUUGGUAAGAUUGUAUUAUAAAAUUUCACUGAACACUACAUAACAAAUUUAUCUUUCUAAUAUUUUUAAUAUAUAUUCAAAAUAAAUACAUAUUAUAUAUAUUCUUAUAAAAAAAUUUGUCUGACCAAGAUAUAUAAUUAAUAUGAAAUAUAAUUAUAUGAAUAAAUAUAAAAUAAUUUUUAAAAAUAAAUAAAUAAAAUUUUAUCUCAUGGAAAUCUUAUGAUUUUAGAGGAUAUCAUGGGAUAAUUUGAGAAAAUAAAUAAAAAUUAUUAGCAUAGUAUCAGGAGCAUUUGUAAAGUAAUAUCCAGAUCAACUAUAACUAAAAAAAAUUAUCAAGCAUUAAUUCAUGGCGGAGUAAGACGAAAGGAUUCCACCUUAUUUGAUCACUUCUAAGGUUAGGCAGUCAGAAGGAAACAUCACCAUUUCGUGGUAGAGUAAGUUUAGUGGCAUCUUUUGUAAGUGGAAGCGAUUCUUCCGCCCAUCGUCGACUCGGGGGGCGGGUGGGGGCGGGGGGGAGUGCGGGGGGCGGCGGGGAGAUGAAGUCGAAUCCGCACGCAGCCCAUCGUCAACUCGGAGGGGAUGAUUAAACUAAGAACUCGAAUGCGCACGGCACUCGGAUAGGAUUUAUGUGUCGGUCUCAGGGUCACUACAACUAAAAAUCUCAGCUCUUUCUCCACAUCUAGAUGCCUUUUGGGUGGUAGGCAAAGUAUGCAAGUACAUUUAUUGUCAGUUGAUAAGAUUGCCCUUCUUUGCAAUGCAUCUUCAUAUUGCAAUCCACCGACAAUAGAAUAUCUGUAAAACAUUCUUAUCUAUCCCAACAUCAUCGAUCGGGAUUCAUGGACUUUUUCUCCAGUUUCCCAUCUCCCGUCUUCCCAGCUCUCACUGCUGCCAGCGUGAUGCUGGCACUCUUCCUCCUGAGACGAUUGCUGCGGCGCUGCUCGUCAAGUGUUCACCGAAGGAAGCCAAAUUACCCACCCAUCGCAGGAACAGUAUUCCACCAAUUGCUAAACCUCAGUCGAUUGGCAGAUUUCCAAACCGACCUCUCCCGCAAGUACAGGACCUUCCGAAUCCUCACCCCCUUCUGCAACUAUGUUUUCACUGUCGACCCUGCCAACGUCGAGCACAUCCUCAAAAUCAACUUUGCAAACUAUGGGAAGGUACUUCAAUCAUCUCCCAACUAAAAGGCUUUUUCUGAGAUGUGUGAGAUAUAGGGAAUAGAGAAUUGCUCGAUGAACGUCACCUUCUUUGCAGGGGAGCUUUACUUACGAUAUUAUGUGCGACUUCUUUGGCGAUGGAAUCUUUGCGGUGGAUGGUGAGAAGUGGCGCCAUCAGAGAAAACUAGCGAGCUUCGAAUUUUCCACAAAGGUGUUGAAGAACAACAGCAGUGUGGUGUUCAGAAGCACUGCUGCCAGACUUGCUAAGAUAAUCUCAAACGCUGCGAGAUCUAAUGAAAUGAUCGAGAUCCAAGUAAGCGAGACUUAGAACAUGCUGCCGUCCUAACCUGGCCGAGCUUGACCAUUCCUUAAUCUCUCUUCAGGAUUUGCUCAUGAAGUCGACGUUAGAUUCCAUAUGUGAAGUUGGGUUUGGUGUGGAGUUGGAUACGUUGACCGGAUCGACUGAAGAGGGGAGAACUUUUGCCAAGGCGUUCGACGAUGCAAGCGCUCAAAUAGUGCUCCGGUUUUUUGAUGUCUUUUGGAAGGUCAAGAGGUUCCUCAACAUUGGCUCAGAAGCCAAGAUGAAGAAGAGCCUCAAAUCGAUCGAUGAUUUUGUGUACAAAUUGAUCGAUACAAAGAUUGAGCAAUUGUCUCAACGAGAAACCGGAUUCGUAAGUCACACCUGGCAUUGACAUCUUGAAACAGGAGGUUCUACAUACUGAUCAUAUUUUCUUCAUGGCAGAUGGAAAAAGAAGACAUUUUGUCGAGAUUUCUAAUCGAACGAGAGAAAAAUCCUGAUGACAUGAGCUACAAGUACUUGAGAGACAUCAUACUCAACUUUGUGAUUGCAGGAAGGGACACCACGGCAGGGACUCUUUCAUGGUUCUUCUAUAUGCUAUGCAAGCAUCCCAAUGUACAAGAAAAAGUAGCACAAGAGGUGAGAGAAGCAACCAAGAUAAAGGGCGAAGUGACCGUCGACGAAUUCGUCGCAAGCCUAACCGAGGAAGCCCUCAACGAGAUGCAGUACCUUCACGCAUCUCUGACCGAGACUCUCAGGCUGUACCCUGCAGUUCCACUGGUGAACUAUCUGAAGCUAAUAUGCUGGUCGAUCCUCGUUGGCACUCAGUGCUUGCUUACUGACUCACAUGUGUCAUCAUAGGAUGUCAAGCAUUGCUUCUCGGAGGACACAUUACCAGAUGGAUUCGACGUCAAGAAAGGAGACUUGGUGAUUUACCAACCUUAUCCUAUGGGAAGAAUGCAGUUCCUGUGGGGUGAGGAUGCAGAGGAUUUCCGGCCAGAGAGAUGGCUCAACGGUGACGGUGUAUUUGUGCCAGAAAGCCCCUUCAAGUUCCCUGCUUUCCAGGUGAGGCAACCAAAAACCUGCAAUUAGCUGGAUAAGUCGAUCUGAAAGUGGUUGAUUCUUUG
rnacentral:lncRNA from 1 species